GUCUAAAAAUAUUAAAAUUAAAUUAUGAUGUAAAUAAAAAUUAUUUAUUAAGUAUUCGUUAUAAUUAAUUAAAGAAUUUUAUUAUUAAUGAAAUUUUAUAAUUGUUUUUGAAAACGUAAAGUGUAUACAAAUAGCUAUUAAAUUAUGUUAUUAAAAUGAAAUAGAAAAUAAAUUACGCAAUGCACGAUAAAAUGACAAUAAGUCAUUGGCUGAAUUUGCAUUGUCCUCUACCGAAGUAUAAUAUUGAGGCUUUUCUUCGCUGUUAUAGUGAAAUGAGUGCAUUAUUAUUUUAAUCUCUGAAUUAUGUUAAAAUUAGUGAUUUAAUCCUCAUAUAUAUAUGAUUUAGUGCGUUACAUUUAAUUCUAUUGAUUAUUUGGUUUUUUAAUUCAUUUUUGUCAUUUUAAUUGUUAGUUAAGGACUAAAAGAUGACCAACAAAUUACAAAAGCAUUAAUAAUAAAAAUUCAAAAAUAAAAAUUCAAAAAUAAAAAUAUUUAUAUUAGCAAAAAUUAAGGACGAAA
rnacentral:misc_RNA from 1 species